rnacentral:lncRNA from 1 species
GCUUUUGUAGAUAAUAAAAAGAGGGUCUUUUAACUGUUAUAAUAGUGUGUAUACACAUAUACAUACAAAUCUGUGUGUGUGUGUGUGUGUGUGUGUGUGUAUUGUAUUUAAGCCUAGAAAACAGAAGGUCCUGGGUUCACUCUGGCCUCAGACAACUUUCUAGCUAUGUAAACCUUGGGCAAGUCACUUCACCCCCAUGACCUAGCUCUUACUGCUCUUCUGCCUUGGAACCAAUAUACAGUACUGAUUCUAAGAUGGAAGGAAAGGGUUUAAUAUUUAUUCUCUCUAUUUUACAGAUGGGGGAACUGAGAUUCAGUGAGUCAAUUAGACUUGGCCAAGGUCACACAGCUAAUAAGUGGGAAAUUAAUGAAUAAUUUCCUUUAGGCUAUGUACAUAGCAGAGCUAAAAUUACUGUACUGGGUUUCUAUCAGUAGCUGAAUUAAAAUAAAUUCACUCUGAAAUGGAUUAUUGACCACUGAGAGAUCCUUUGGUAAACAUCUGAAGAAAAGUAAGUCAGCACAUUGCAAAGCUAAUUUCUUUCAAUUAAGUUAAAUUCAACAAACAUUUAUUAAAUGCCUGCUCUGGGGAAAUCAAUAUGGUCCAGUGGGAAGAUAGCUGGCUAUGAAAUCAGAGGAUGAAGUUUGAGUCACACUAGUAGUAUUAUUUGUGAGACCCUGGGGCAGUGGUCACUUAGCCUCAGAGGCCUCUGGGGAAUGAGAGGGUUGGACUGCUUAGUGUGUGAAGUCUUCCAGUUCUAGAUCUGGGUUCCUAUGUGACAGUCCCCAAAGAAAAUUAAUAAGGAAACACAAUGCCCCUUCCCUCAGGGAACUCUCUCUCUCUCUCUCUCUCUCUCUCUCUCUCUCUCUCCUCUCUCCAUUCCUUCCUUCCUUCCUCCCUCCCUCCCUCCCUUCCUUUCUCCCUCCCUCCCUCCCUCCCUUCCUUCCUUCCUUCCUUCCUUCCUUCCUUCCUUCCUUCCUUCCUUCCUUCCUUCCUUCCUUCUUCCUUCCUUCCUUCCUUCCUUCCUUCCUUCCUUCCUUCCUUUUCCCCUUCCUUCCUUCCUUCCUUUCCUUCCUUCCUUCCUUCCUUCCUUCCUUCCUUCCUUCCUUCCUUCCUUCCUUCCUUCCUUCCUUCCUACCUUCCUUCCUAUUUUCUGAUUUAG